rnacentral:lncRNA from 10 species
GUAAAAUUACAAAGGCUUUUCAUUUUGAAGUACAAUCUAUUUUUCUUUUGUUGACUCAUGCUUCUGAUAGCAUAACCCCUGUAUUUUAUAGAUGUGAACACUCAUUCCCUCAGGGUGGGCUUCCCUGGAAACAGACUCUGAGAUGAAGACUGGUGUACAGUAGUCACUCCUUAUUGGUACUUUUGCUUUCUGCAGUUUUAGUUAUCUAUGGUAAACUGCAGUCCAAAAAUAUUAAAUAGAAAACACCAGAAAUAAAUAAUAAGUUUUAAAUUGUGUGACGUUCUCAGUAGGGUGUAAACUUUCAAGCUGUCCUGCUCUGUCCCACCCAGGAUGUGAAUCAUCCCUUUGUCCCCCGUACCCACGCCGUACACGUUCCCCAUCCGUUAGUCACUUUGUAGCCAUCUUGGCUAUCAGAUUGUUGCAGUAUCGCAGUGCUUGUGUUCGAGUAAUCCUUAUUUUACUUAAUAAUGGUCCCAAUGUGCGAGAGUAGUGAUGCUGGCAAUUCGUAUAUGCCAAAGAGAAGCUAUAAAGUGCUUCACUUAAGUGAAAAGGUGAAAGUUCUUGACUUAACAAGGAAAGAAAAAAAAAUUGCUGAAAUUAACAAAAUUUAUAAGAACAAAUCUUUUACCCGUGAAUUUGUAAAGAAAAAUAUAUUUGUGCUGGUUACAGCACCUCAAACUGUAAACGUCAUGGCCAUAGAGUAUGAUAAGUGCUUAGUUAAGAUGAAAAAGGCAUUCAGUUUGCAGGUGGGAGACAUUAAAAGAAAUGUGUUUUGAUUGGCAACACGUUGCACCAGAAAGCAUUGAGCCUGUAUGAAGACAAGCAUUGAUCCCUACAGCAAGGGAUCCCCUGAAACGAGUGACACCAAGCCAUUUAUUGCAAGUAAGGGAUAGUUAACAGAUUCAGGAAUAGGUUUGGACUGAAAAAUAUAUAAAUUACUAGAGAGGCUGUGUCUGCUAAUGAAGAAGCUGUUGCCACAGGAAUACAGAACAAUGGGAUAUUUUGAAGGAGCGAGAGAGACCACAUGCGUAUGAUUUUACUGUAGUAUAAUUGUUCUAUUUUAUUAUUAGUUAUUAUUGUUAAUCUGUUAGCUGAACCUUAUUAAAAAAAUUUUAUCAGAGGUACGUAUGUAUAAAAAGAAAAUAUAUAUAGGGUCUGGUACUAUCUGCAGCUUUAGGCUCCACUGAAGUUCUUGGAAUGUAUUCUAUGAAGAUAAGGGGGACUACUGUAUAGAGGGGAUUACAGCAUGCUCUUGGCAUUGUUCCUGAACCAAUAUGGGGGUUGGGCUGCUAUUUCUCGUGGCCCAAUAAUGAGAUGCAGAUGAACUGGGGACGAAGAGAGUAUUUCUGUAACCAGUUACAGGGAGAAGGCCUGGAAAUUAUUGCCAGACCAACUCAAAAUUACAAAGUUUUCCAGAGCUUAUAUACCUUCUAAGCUAUAUGUCUAUGUGUAACUGAGUGAAUUAAUCUAAAGACAUAAGUGAUUAACUUCUUUUAAUCUAUAACUAAGGUCUGAGUCCUGAAGACCUUCUAGAGCCUCAGUAAGUUUACUUAAUCUAAAUGGGUCUAGGUGCUGGGGUGAUUACCCUUAUCUUGUCUCCUGCUAAAUCAUGGAGGUUUGGGGAGUUCCUUUAGAUCUCAAUAAACUUGUUUGUGGAGGCCCGAGGAGUUUCUUCAGACCCCCCAAUAAAACUUGUUUAAUCCUAAAAGGGUCCUGUUAAGAAUUCCUUCAUUAUCUUGUCAAACUUCAAGGCCCAUGAAAAGCCUAGGCAAAACUCUUGGUGGGCUCUUUGUUACAUUCCAGCCUUUGUAUAAGGGCACUGGCUCAAUCAGCUUUUAAUGUUUAACCUAGCUACUCAGUCAGAGCUGGGACAGUUGUUGUAAUGCAGGCCUGCAUUAGUGAGACCUGGCCUGCCACAAUCACCACUGUCAAUUUGUGCAUGAUUUCUAUCAUGCUUGUAUAUUUAUUUAUCACAAGAUCAUAGGGAUAUGGGGCAUCAUAAUCUUUCUGGCUACUUCCUGCUGAGAGAGGGUCAUCAUUAUGGGGACUGAAUGCAGUGCUGGAGUGGAGGUGGUUGAUUUGUUCCCUCUAUUGGCUCUAUUUCGGGGGCCUAGAAUAGUAUGCAACAGCAACACAUAUAAAGAGGUUGCUGCUGUUUUCUUCUAAAGUUUAAGUUGUCUAGUCUUAAGUUUGCAGGGCUUUACGAAAGCACAGCUCAGGUUUCAGUGAUUUCCAAUUAGGAAGAAUGGGGGAAAAGGAAAAGAAAAAGGGAAAAAUUGAAAACAUUAUUUUGGAGACCUGUAGCCAAAAAAUUAGAAUUUAAUCCAAACUGUAGAAAACAAUAAAAACUGAAAAAAUCAGGCAAGACUAGAAUUUAACAGGUAUACUAUAGUUUUGAAACAUAAUUUUUCUCUCUUCAUGGUAGGACUGGUAUGCUUUAUUAUAUUUGGCCAGAUUAUUUGUAUAAAGUGCAGCAAGAAUAAUUAUUUUCACAUAGGUCUUUUAUAUUGGCUUUGAUGGAACUUUGUUCCAUAGAAGGAAUCUAAGAUGAGACCUUUUUAAAGCCAAGCCCAGCCAUGGAUUUGUACCAUCAAAUACCUAUGAAUUGGGUGAAUUCCUCUCCUCUUGAGGUUCCAAGAUAACUUGGGGUUCCUGGCCUCUUGGAAAGUGACAUUGUUUGCUUACCACAGAUCAGAAACCCUGUACAGGGACUGUGUAUGCAAAAUAUGAGGCCAGUUUUCCAAGGGCUUUAUUGGCUCCAUAAGUCAAGUUUGAUUCCUUAAAGGAGAGCAUACCAUUCCAGUCAAAGCCCUUGGUAAAAUAACCAGUUUUUCCAACUGUGUCCUCUUACGAAAGAAAACAGAUUCUUGUUGCACUUAUGCAAAUAACUAUAUUGCCAUAAAUUAAGAAUACUCGCAAAUAGUUUCCAAAUUUUGGAAUCAGGUAGAGAGAAACAAAUAUGCUCCAAAUUUUGUUCAUAGGAGUAUACUUUACUUAAUUGUUAAAAGCUGUCAAUAGCUCAAAAGUCUCCUUGACUCUGAAAAGCAAAACAAAGGAUUAGCAACAUUUUAAGCAAAAAGUCAAAAAGAUCACUUCAGUCUCCUAUUAGUUCAGUUCAUGCAGUUAAUUCCUGUCCUGCUUGAUACUAAUGAAUAUUUUAACUCUUCAAGAGUCCUGAACGUUUUUCCUCUAUUCUGAUGUCACAUCUCCAAAGUUAUCAGAAACCUGCAUUCAAGAGCACCUGUUAGAGCUUUAUAGCUGAUUAUAAAAUCACCUUCUACAGAGGACCAAAACAAGACAACAAUUGAUUAUGGAUGACAAAAAGUUUUAGGGUAGCCAUAGUUAAACACACAAUUGACAAGGAUAUCUGUUACCUCUGUGGCACACAAUAAUUUAACACAACAAUUAUAAUUAUUACUCAUAACAUACACUAAGAUGUAUCAGAAUUAUAGGAGUCUCCCAUAACUUUGGAACACAUACAAAUAACAUACUUAUACAAAUAUAGCCCAAAGAAAGCCAAACACCAUUUCAUAUUUGACAAUGCUUUCUGUAUAAUAUUUAUACCAAAUAAACCAAAUUUCACCUUUACGUUAGUGUGCUAUUAAUGUUAAACCCAAUUCUUAACAAAUCCUUAUAGACAGAUUUACCCAAUUUUAAUGUUUGACCAUAAGGUAAGAUUUUGUAUAGACCUUUUAUAACCCUUUACAAUUUUUGUUAAAGAGCAGGUUAGUGCUUUAAGAGAAACCCACUGUGCUUUUAUUUUAAUGUUCAAUUUACAGAAAAACUGGAUGAUACCCCUUUAACUUUGGCCAAUAUGUUUACACACAAAAUUUCCUUUAUAAUCAACCUUCCACAACUUGUUUAAAUCUUCCUCUUUAUUUUAUCCAACUUAAAACAGUCCUUUAACCUUUUAAUCUAGGCAAAAAUCCACAUUCUCAUGACUCCUUAUAAUCUUUUUACUAGAAGUAUAUUUUGCUUUCCUUACACACCUUGCAUGUAAACUGUUUCUUCAAUAGUUUUAAAUAUAUGUUACACUGUUAACUUUUAGCAACCUUUACUUUUGGUGAAAACCUUGGUAAGUUUGGGAUUUUAAUUAUGUACUAGGUGUGGAGCCUUGGACCUAGGCAGAAAUGCAGAUAAGGUCCGACUUAUUCCAGUUUCAAACUCCAUGUGUCCCAGGCCUUACCUAGCUGUACACCAGGCAAGUUGUACAGCUAAGAGUCUUAGUGGCAUUUUUAUAAAACAUUCAGGAGGCCUAAUCACCUUCAAACUGUACAUUUCUUUCCUUUCAUAAAUUCCCUUUCAUAAAUUCUUUCAUGACUACACAGACAAGCUAUGACAUGCCUUGACUUGACUUUCUGACUUGUCCUAAACAUCCCUCUUUUUUUUUUUUUUUUUUUUUGAGAUGGAGUCUCGCUCUGUCACCCAGGCUGGAGUGCAGUGGCAUGAUCUCGGCUCACUGUAACCUCUGCCUCCCAGGUUCAAGCGAUUCUUCUGCCUCAGCUUCCUGAGUAGUUGGGACCACAGGUGCGUGCCACCACGCCCAGCUAAUUUUGGUAUUUUUAGUAGAGAUGGGGUUUCACCAUAUUGGCCAGGCUGGUCUCAAACUCCUGACCUCGUGAUCUGCCCUCCUCAGCCUUCCAAAGUGCUGGGAUUACAGGCGUGAGCCACUGCGCCCGGCCACAUCCCUCUUUUUAAACAACCAGUUAUUUUACUUUAGGACAAGAAUUUACCACACAAGAUCCUUCAUUAUAUAAAAUAUCUUUUCUUUAAUACCUUUUUGCAUAGCUAGGGGCAUGGCUAAUUUCAUGUGUCCUGAGGGCUUAUCUAGAAUUUAACACUCCAAAAUAAAUUGAACAAUUUUUUAAGUCAAAAAAAGUUUAUGACCUAAAGCAUUUAGCAAACUUAAUAUUUGACCUGCAUAAUUUAGACCAAAUGUUUACAUUUUUGAAGAUAUUUUUAUUUUACCAAUAGACUUUAAAACUCUCUUUAUUUUUACAACUUACUUUAUAUCUCUCUUAUUUCCUGGUUCCUUUUACCUUGUUUUAUAUAUAAAAAACCUUUAAAUAAGCUUUGAAUUAGACAAAAAUUAUUUACCCUUUAAAAAGGACACAAUUUUUAGAAUGAAUGUUUUCCUACAAUAUAUUUUAAUUGGAAAAUACCUAAAUAAUGAAAUAUCUGUUGUUUAAUUUAAUAUAACUUUGGAUUCUGCAAAUAUUUGUCCCAUUACAUUUAUCUAAUUAUUUAUUUUAAUCAUUUACCUAUGUUAUUUAUGAAAACUGUGAUAGUCAUCAUUAAAAGUUAUGAAAUCACCAAUGCAAAAUUAUAACUGAGAGAGUGAAAAUGAUCUGACCUAACUGACUCCAUCUUACUUCUUACCUUAAAGCUAUUCUUAUUCAUUAACUAAGGUCAUAGUUUAGUUUUGAAACAGAGAUGAUAACAGUCCUUUCCCAGGAUGAACUUUCUUUAUGUCUGUGGAAUAGACUGCCUAAGGCCACAAGAUUAGGGUAUUUUACUAAAUAAUUCAAGAUGUAGCUAUCUUCAUUAAACCAAUAUUAAUGUUUUAUUAAAAACAUUAUAUUUAUUAAAAACAAGCUAUAAAUAAAAUAAUGUUUUAUUUAUUUAAAAAACAUUUUAUUUAUUAAAAACCAGCAAAGAUCAUUCUGUUUUGGGCUGAGUUAUAGUUUUGUAGCCUCUACGCCAAAUUUUGACACCUUAUAGUAUUUGACAGAGCUAAGUACAAAGUUGCUUGAUCAAUAAAUGCAAACAAAAAUGUAUGCUGGCAACUCUUAAGACAUUUCUAAUAUUACUUCACCAAUAAUUUAUUUUUUUUUGAGAUGGAGUCUCACUCUGUCACCCAGGCUGGAGUGCAAGUGGCAAGAUCUUGGCUCACUGCAACCUCCGCCUCCUGGGUUCAAGCAAUUCUCCUACUCAGCCUCCCAAGUAGCUGGGAUUACAGGUGCCCACCACCAUGCCCGGCUAAUUUUUAAAAUAUUUUAGUAGAGACAGGAUUUCACCAAGUUGGCCAGGCUGCUCUUGAACUCCUGACUUCAGGUGAUCUGCCCGCCUCGGCCUCCUAAAGUGCUGGGAUUACAGACGUGAGCCACCGUGCCCAGCCAUUACUUCACCAAUAAUUUUUAAAGCUAGCUUAUUCAUUAAAGAUUUUACUUAAGUCAUAUAAACUUGAGAAAGCAUUUGACUAGUCUUUCCUUUUUCUGUUGAAGUAUUUAAGCACUUUUAUUUUUCUUUGAGCCAAUUAAUUAGAACUCUUUUAUAUAUUUUCAGUAGUGAAACAUGGUGUACACAAGACAUAAAUACAUAGACAUAUUAGGCAUGCCAAUAGAAGUACAUUUUAUAGAUUCAUAAGACCUCCUUUUCCCUAUCUUUUAACUGGAUCUUUGAGCUCUGGGCAGAGCCAACACUGAAUCCUGGGUUUGCAAAAAGGGAGAAUUAUUAUGGGGCUAGACCAUGUGGUGCUUUUACAGUGCACUUAAAAAAACCUUUUUUUCCAAACAAAGUCAUUUCUAAGUGUCUAAAUUACACUUUUUCUUAAAAACCCCAGAGUAGCUUCUGUUGUAAUAGCUAUUAAUGAAGAAAACACAAUUCAGUCAACUGAAAAGAAAAAUAAAAACUUUUGCUCAAAACGACAAGAUCCUAGGAGAGAAAUAAAAACAAAAACAAAAACAAAAACAUGAAGGCCUUUUAAAUACAAACAUGCACACAUACACACAUACAUAAAGAUAUCUUGGAUGUUAGCUUUUAGUUAAGCUGACUCUCAAUCAUUGAGCUUCUAAAAAAUAUUUUUCCUUCCCAGAGGCCUCUCAACAGGAAUGGACCCAAUACCUCCCAUUUUCAAGUUUACGUGAUAUGAAAGGGAAUAAGACAGAUACACAAAUAAGUGGAGGCAAAUUUUGAACAACACAAGGGGGAGUGCAUUUAGGCAAAACAGAGUCAAAACCAACUCAAAACAUGAUCUUAACCAAAAUGCAAAGCAGGUGUAUGAGCAAGCCCUAUGGCUUCCCUUAGCAGUACCAGACAAAUGGCUUAACAAGGCCAGAUAGGAAAACAAUAGGCUCCCAGCAUACAACCCAGUUAACUCACCCUUUGAGUGAGUCUGCUCCUGAUCUCCUGGCAUCUGGAGGGAAUGGGGUUUAAGCCGUGAAGGAGAUCUGGGUGACAUAUAACAUCAUCCAUUACAGUUCCAAAGAGGUAUCUUGAACAAUAGGAAAGCAAACUGUUUUCUCCUACUAUGCUCUCAACACACAGGACAUUUUCAGUCACCAAAAUGUGUGUGGGGUUUUCUCCACAUUGACCAAUUGUCUGACACCAAUUAGGUGUCCUACAAUUUAACUCAAUUCUGACAUUAACUGGAGUUAGUUUGGGUCCUACAGGUUAAGGGCUCAGUCCCACAAGACUUCCCCCAAAUUCAGAUGCCAAUCACAAGCUCCGGGUUGGCACCUGUGCUCCUGACCGAGAAGCUACAGAUCAGAGGUUCACACGACUCCUUCCUCAGGUUUGAUCAUUUGCUAGAGUGGCUCACAUAAUUCAGGGAAAAAUUGACUUAUGUUUACCAGUUUACCAGGGAGAUAUUUACUUGCAUUUACUGGUCUAUUAUAAAGGAUAUUUCAAAGGAUACAGAUGAACAGCCAGAUGGAAGAGAUGCCCAGGGCAGGGCACAUGUGAAGGGCACGGAGCUUCCACACCUUCUCUGGUGUGCCGGCCUCCCUGCACCUCCACAUAUUCAGCAACCUGGAAAUCUUCCAAACCUAUCCUUGGAGGUUUUAUGGUGGCUUCACUACACAGGCAUGAUUGAUAAAUCACUGGCCAUCAGUGACUGAGUCAACCUUCAGCCCCUAUCCUCUCCCCUCCCGAGAGAUGAGGGGAUGAGGUUGAAAUUUCCAAACCUGUAAUCACUAGGUUGGUUCCUGUGGCAACCAGCUAGCAUCCCAAAGCUUUCCAGGACCCCCUAGUGAUCUCAUUAGCACACAAAAAGACACCUGUCACUUAGGAGAGUCCAAGCAUUUUAGGAGCCUCGAGCCAGGAAAUAGGAGGAGAGACCAAAUAUAUCUAUUUCUUAUUAUGGCACAUCUCCUCUUGCUUGCUUUGGUCUCCUGGUGCUGGGCUGUCACUGCCACUUUAAUAUAAUUUAGAGCAGAAUCUAAGGUCUCCAGGAAGCUCCAGCCUAUUCUCACCAGGCCCAUUCCCUCCUUCCCUCCUCAUUUUCCUUUCUGCCUCCCUAGCUGCUCUCUUCCUCACCUACAACUUUGUCAUGUAACUGUUGCCCUUCUGUUAAAAGUCUGCAGUUUAAUUUCAG